AAGGAAAUAUCUUGCUUGCUUGCCAGUCAUAUAUUUAUUUACCUUAUUAUUAGAUGAUUUAAUUCAAAUUUUUGGCUUUGCUUCGGUUAAUGUCGUGCAAUUACAUUAAACACUGUCUACCAUUCGUAUAAAAGAUUUACUAGCUUUUCAUUUAGAUUAUAAAUUGUACAUCAACACUUUGGUUUCAACGGACAUUAAUACAAAGCCAUUUUCAACAUCAUCUGUUUAGUCAAGACAAUAUCACAUCCAAACGAUGAUGGCAGCUACAUGAUGUUUUGAUCACAUAAAGCGGUAACCUGAUCAAAUGAGUUCGAUUAAAGGUUGGAUUACUGAUAAAAAUGAAAAACAAACCAAUCAUGAUUCUGAAGCUGGUAAUUGAAUAAUUAUCCACACAAAUAAUGAUAAUGGCUUGAAGAAGUCAAACAGGCGAUGUCAAUAGGAAAAAAAGCAAAAGAGAUUCAAGAUUUUUUAGGAUAUAAAGAGAGAGUGAAAGAGUGUCAACAAUUCAAUUUAACCUGGUUUUGAUGGUUUCUCCAAUCAACUGUCAAAGUGCCCUUUACAUGAUCGAUCCUGUUUUUGUCGCUUUCAUUUCAACUUUCAUUGGAUUACCAAUUUUUAUGGGGAAACAUCUAAUAUCCAAACAAGGCGUCAUUAGUGUUUUAUUUGAUAAACAUCUAACUGUGAUCAGUAAACGUUG